GAUGAACGCUGGCGGCGUGCCUAAUACAUGCAAGUCGAGCGAACGGACGAGAAGCUUGCUUCUCUGAUGUUAGCGGCGGACGGGUGAGUAACACGUGGAUAACCUACCUAUAAGACUGGGAUAACUUCGGGAAACCGGAGCUAAUACCGGAUAAUAUUUUGAACCGCAUGGUUCAAAAGUGAAAGACGGUCUUGCUGUCACUUAUAGAUGGAUCCGCGCUGCAUUAGCUAGUUGGUAAGGUAACGGCUUACCAAGGCAACGAUGCAUAGCAGACCUGAGAGGGUGAUCGGCCACACUGGAACUAAGACACGGUCCAGACUCCUACGGGAGGCAGCAGUAGGGAAUCUUCCGCAAUGGGCGAAAGCCUGACGGAGCAACGCCGCGUGAGUGAUGAAGGUCUUCGGAUCGUAAAACUCUGUUAUUAGGGAAGAACAUAUGUGUAAGUAACUGUGCACAUCUUGACGGUACCUAAUCAGAAAGCCACGGCUAACUACGUG
rnacentral:rRNA from 1 species